GGUGAAGAACGCAGCGAAAUGCGAUACGUAAUGUGAAUUGCAAAUUCAGUGAAUCAUCGAGUCUUUGAACGCACAUUGCGCCCCCUGGUAUUCCGGGGGGCAUGCCUGUCCGAGCGUCAUUGCUGCCCUCAAGCACGGCUUGUGUGUUGGGCCCCGUCCUCCGAUCCCGGGGGACGGGCCCGAAAGGCAGCGGCGGCACCGCGUCCGGUCCUCGAGCGUAUGGGGCUUUGUCACCCGCUCUGUAGGCCCGGCCGGCGCUUGCCGAUCAACCCAAAUUUUUAUCCAGGUUGACCUCGGAUCAGGUAGGGAUACCCGCUGAACUUAAGCAUAUCAAUAAGCGGAGGA
rnacentral:misc_RNA from 1 species